rnacentral:rRNA from 1 species
UACGUAGGGUGCGAGCGUUGUCCGGAAUUAUUGGGCGUAAAGGGCUCGUAGGCGGUUUGUCGCGUCGGGAGUGAAAACCAGGUGCUUAACACCUGGCUUGCUUUCGAUACGGGCAGACUAGAGGUAUGCAGGGGAGAACGGAAUUCCUGGUGUAGCGGUGAAAUGCGCAUAUAUCAGGAGGAACACCGGUGGCGAAGGCGGUUCUCUGGGCAUGACCUGACGCUGAGGAGCGAAAGUGUGGGGAGCGAACAGG